UCUCCGUUGGUGAACCAGCGGAGGGAUCAUUACAGGACUCGCAAGACUCCUACAACCCUGUGAACUUAACUAUAAGCACGUUGCUUCGGCGGGUGUCUCGGAGGGGGUUCUCCCUCCCCGAGACGCUAAACCCGCCGGCAGCCUACUAUACUCUGUCUCUUUGCGUUGGCAUCUCGAGUACAAUCAAACAAGUUAAAACUUUCAACAACGGAUCUCUUGGUUCUGGCAUCGUGAAGAACGCAGC
rnacentral:misc_RNA from 1 species